rnacentral:rRNA from 1 species
UAGCUUGCUAAUGAAAUUCUUAGUGGCGGACGGGUUAGUAACACGUGAGAAUCCUACCCUUGAGUGGGGAAUAGCCUUUCGAAAGGAAGAUUAAUGCCCCAUAGUCUCUACGGAGUAAAGAUGCCUUCGGGUGUCGCUUAAGGAUGGGCUCGCGGCCUAUCAGCUAGUUGGUGAGGUAAGAGCUCACCAAGGCAACGACGGGUAGCUGGUCUGAGAGGACGAUCAGCAACACUGGAACUGAGACACGGUCCAGACACCUACGGGUGGCAGCAGUCGAGAAUCAUUCACAAUGGACGAAAGUCUGAUGGUGCAACGCCGCGUGGAGGAUGACGGCCCUAGGGUUGUAAACUCCUGUCAUCAGGGAGUAAGACUUAUUCGUUAAUAGCGUGUAAGUUUGAUAGUACCUGAAGAGGAAGGGACGGCUAACUUCGUGCCAGCAGCCGCGGUAAUA